rnacentral:lncRNA from 1 species
AUGCCAAAGCCUUUGACUGUGUGGAUCACAAGAAACUGGAAAAUUCUGAAAGAGAUGGGAAUACCAGACCACCUAACCUGCCUCUUGAGAAAUCUGUAUGCAGGUCAGGAAGCAACAGUUAGAACUGGACGUGGAACAACAGACUGGUUCCAAAUAGGAAAAAGAGUAUGUCAAGGCUGUAUAUUGUCACCCUGCUUAUUUAACUUAUAUGCAGAGUGCAUCAUGAGAAACGCUGGCCUGGAAGAAACACAAGCUGGAAUCAAGAUUGCCGGGAGAAAUAUCAAUAAACUCAGAUAUGCAGAUGAUACCACCAUUAUGGCAGAAAGUGAAGAGGAGCUAAAAAGCCUCUUAAUGAAAGUGAAAGAGGAGAGUGAAAAAGCUGGCUUAAAGCUCAACAUUCAGAAAACAAAGAUCAUGGCAUCUGGUCCCAUCACUUUAUGGGAAAUAGAUGGGGAAACAGUAGAAACAGUGUCACACUUUAUUUUUUGGGGCUCCCAAAUCACUGCAGAUGGUGACUGCAGCCAUGAAAUUAAAAGACACUUACACCUUGGAAGAAAAGUUAUGACUAGCCUAGAUAGUAUAUUCAAAAACAGAGACUUUACUUUGCCGACUAAGGUCCAUCUAAUCAAGGCUAUGGUUUUUCCAGUAGUCAUGUAUGGAUGUGAGAGUUGGACUGUGAAGAAGGCUGAGCACCGAAGAAUUGAUGCGUUUGAACUGUGGUGUUGGAGAAGACUCUUGAGGGUCCCUUGGACUGCAAGGAGAUCCAACCAGUCCAUUCUGAAGGAGAUCAGUCCUGGGAUUUCUUUGGAAGGAAUGAUGCUAAAGCUGAAGCUCCAGUACUUUGGACACCUCAUGCAAAGAGUUGACUCAUUGGAAAAGACUCUGAUGCUGGGAGGGAUUGGGGGCAGGAGGAGAAGGGGACGACCGAGGAUGAGAUGGCUGGAUGGCAUCACUGACUCAAUGGAUGUGAGUCUGAGUGAACUCCGGGAGAUGGUGAUGGACAGGGAGGCCUGGCGUGCUGCGAUUCACGGGGUCGCAAAGACUCGGACACGACUGAGCGACUGA